rnacentral:rRNA from 1 species
GUGUCAGCAGCCGCGGUAAUACGGGGGGGGCUAGCGUUAUUCGGAAUCAUUGGGCGUAAAGGGCGCGUAGGCGGCGCGGUAAGUCAAAGGUGAAAUCCCUCGGCUCAACUGAGGAACUGCCUUUGAAACUGCCGUGCUUGAGUCCGGGAGGGGGUAGCGGAAUUCCCAGUGUAGCGGUGAAAUGCGUAGAUAUUGGGAGGAACACCAGUGGCGAAGGCGGCUACCUGGACCGGUACUGACGCUGAUGCGCGAAAGCGUGGGGAGCAAACAGGAUUAGAUACCCUGGUAGUCC